ACUGGAGUUCUAAGAAGCCUGCAUCUGAGGAAGCAAGACUGCUGACACAGUCCUCCUAGAAAAAAGCACUGGAGACAGCAGCCCUCAAGGGAGAAUAUCACAGAGCUGACUGUACUACCCAACAUUC